CGCGUAGGCGGAUUAUCAAGUCAGAGGUGAAAGCCCUGGGCUCAACCUGGGAACUGCCUUUGAAACUGAUAGUCUUGAGUCCGAGAGAGGAUGGCGGAAUUCCCAGUGUAGAGGUGAAAUUCGUAGAUAUUGGGAAGAACACCAGUGGCGAAGGCGGCCAUCUGGCUCGGUAUUGACGCUGAGGCGCGAAAGCGUGGGAGCAAACA
rnacentral:rRNA from 1 species